rnacentral:rRNA from 1 species
UUAAGCUACAAAGAGCAUACGGUGGAUGCCUAGGCACUAGGCGCCGAAGAAGGACGUGAUAAGCUGCGAUAAGCUACGGGUAGGUGCAAAUAACCUGCGAUCCGUAGAUCUCCGAAUGAGGAAACUCAGCAUAAGUAAUUUUAUGUUACUCAUACCUGAAUAAAAUAGGGUAUAGAGAGGGAACCCAGGGAAUUGAAACAUCUUAGUACCUGGAGGAAAAGAAAGAAAAAUCGAUUCCCCGAGUAGUGGUGAGCGAAAAGGGAAGAGCCCAAACCUUGCAUAGUGAUAUGUAAAGGGGUAGAGGACACUCGUAAUCAAGAUGCAUUAUAGUAGAACACAACUGGAAAGUUGGGCCAAAGAGAGUAAUAGCCUCGUAAACGAAAUGAUGCUGAAGUGGAGUGUAUCCAGAGUACCGCAGGACACGAGAAAUCCGGUGGGAAUACGGGAGGACCAUCUCCUAAGGCUAAAUACGACCUAGUGACCGAUAGCGAAUGAGUACCGCGAGGGAACGGUGAAAAGAACCCCGGGAGGGGAGUGAAAUAGAACCUGAAACCAUAUGCUUACAAACAGACACAGCACUACUGAAUAGUGUGGUGUCGUACUUUUUGUAGAACGGGCCAGCGAGUUACGUUGUGUAGCAAGGUUAAGGCAUUAAGUGCCGGAGCCGAAGCGAAAGCGAGUCUGAAUAGGGCGCCAUAGUUGCAUGACGUAGACCCGAAACCGAGUGACCUAACCAUGUCCAGGUUGAAACAGCGGUAAGACGCUGCGGAGGACCGAACCCACGUCUGUUGAAAAAUACGGGGAUGAGGUGUGGUUAGCGGGGAAAUUCCAAACGAACUCGGAGAUAGCUGGUUCUCCUCGAAAUAGCUUUAGGGCUAGCCUCUUGAUAGAAUACCGCAGGUAGAGCACUGAAUGACCUAGGGGGGUUCACACCUUACCAAAGUUUAUCAAACUCCGAAUGGCGGAUAUUUAAUUCAAGGGAGUCAGACAGUGGGAGACAAGUUUCAUUGUCAAAAGGGAAACAGCCCAGAUCUACAACUAAGGUCCCCAAGUUACAGUUAAGUGGCAAAGGAGGUUUUACCGCUAAAACAGCCAGGAUGUUGGCUUAGAAGCAGCCAUUCAUUUAAAGAGUGCGUAAUAGCUCACUGGUCGAGUAGUGGAGCGCCGAAGAUGUCCGGGGCUAAAACUGUACACCGAAGUUUAGGGAUACAAUUUUUGUAUCGGUAGAGGAGUAAUGUAUACGGGCUGAAGCAUCAGCGGAAGCGGGUGUGGACUGUAUACAAGAGAGAAUGCUGGCAUGAGUAGCGAGAACGGAGUGAGAAACUUCGUCGUCAAUAGUCUGAGGGUUCCUGGUGAAGGUUCGUCCAACCAGGGUUAGUCGGGAGCUAAGGAGAGGCCGAAGGGCGUACCCGAUGCACAACAGGUAUAUAUUCCUGUACCACCUGACCACGUUUAAACGAUGCAAUGACACAGAAGGAUAGUCUAGGCGCAGUGAUGGAUAGCUGCGCGCAAAUCACAAGGCUGGAUGAUAGUGAAGUACGUCAUCUAUUAAGGCUGAGUGCUGACGCGGAAUGAAAAAUAGUAAUGAAGUAGAUGAAUUCACGCUGGCGAGAAAAGUUGCUAAGUAUGUGGAAUGGUGCCCGUACCGCAAACCGACACAGGUAGACGGCAAGAAAAUUGCAAGACGAGCGGGAUAAUUGUUGUUAAGGAACUCUGCAAAAUCGCCCCGUAACUUAGGGAGAAGGGGUGCCGACCUCACGGUCGGCCGCAGUGAAAAGGCCCGAGCGACUGUUUAUCAAAAACACAGGUUUCUGCUAAAACGUAAGUUGAAGUAUAGGAGCUGACGCCUGCCCAGUGCUGGAAGGUUAACGGGAAGUGUUAGCGCAAGCGAAGCACCGAACUUAAGCCCCAGUGAACGGCGGCCGUAACUAUAACGGUCCUAAGGUAGCGAAAUUCCUUGUCAGGUAAGUUCUGACCUGCACGAAUGGCGUAACGACUUGGGCGCUGUCUCAACAACAAACCCGGCGAAAUUGUAGUAUACGUGAAGAUGCGUAUUACCCGCGACAGGACGGUAAGACCCCGUAGAGCUUUACUGUAGCUUGAUAUUGGAAUUCGGCAACUUAUGUACAGGAUAGGUGGGAGACUUGGAAGUGUAGGCGUCAGCUGGCAUGGAGUCAACGUUGGGAUACCACCCUUGAGUUGUUGGAUUUCUAACGCUUUGCCAUGAAUCUGGGAAGCGGACAGUGUCUGGUGGGCAGUUUGACUGGGGCGGUCGCCUCCCAAAGAGUAACGGAGGCGUUCAAAGGUUCCCUCAGAAUGGUUGGAAACCAUUCAUAGAGCGUAAAAGUAUAAGGGAGCUUGACUGCGAGACUGACAAGUCGAGCAGGUACGAAAGUAGGAUUUAGUGAUCCGGCGGUAGAGAAUGGAAUUGCCGUCGCUUAACGAAUAAAAGUUACCUCGGGGAUAACAGGCUUAUCUCCCCCAAGAGUUCACAUCGACGGGGAGGUUUGGCACCUCGAUGUCGGCUCGUCACAUCCUGGGGCUGAAGUUGGUCCCAAGGGUUCGGCUGUUCGCCGAUUAAAGUGGCACGCGAGCUGGGUUCAGAACGUCGUGAGACAGUUCGGUCCCUAUCCGUCGUGGGCGUAGGAUAUUUGAGAGGAGCUGUCCUUAGUACGAAAGGACCGGGAUGGACACACCUAUCGUGCAUCAGUUGUCGCGCCAGCGGCAUAGCUGAGUAGCGAAGUGUGGUAGUGAUAAGCGCUGAAAGCAUCUAAGUGCGAAACAUACCUCAAGAUUAGAUAUCCCAUAUCGUUAAGGUAGUAAGACCCCUUGUAGACUACAAGGUUGAUAGGUCGGAGGUGUAAGUACAGUAAUGUAUUGAGCUGACCGAUACUAAUAGGUCGAGGGCUUAUUCAA